rnacentral:rRNA from 1 species
UGCAGUGGGGGGAGGGAGCCGACAAAGACCUGGGAGUGUGCGUGGAUCUCUCUAUUCCAAAGGAGGUGUUUUAUCACACGACUCGACACUUUCUAAUUACUACACACAGUGGAGUUUACUUUACUACUAUUCUUUUGUUCGUUGGGGGAAAGCUCUCUUUCGGGAGGGAGUUCUCCCAGUGGAUGCAAACACAAACAAAUAUUUUUUUAAAAUAAUUCAGUCAACACAAGAUUUCUUUUAGUAGAAAACAACUUCAAAACUUUCAACAAUGGAUCUCUUGGUUCUCGCAUCGAUGAAGAACGCAGCGAAAUGCGAUACGUAAUGUGAAUUGCAGAAUUCCGUGAAUCAUCGAAUCUUUGAACGCACAUUGCGCCCUCUGGUAUUCCGGGGGGCAUGCCUGUUUGAGCGUCAUUUCCUUCUCAAACACAUUGUGUUUGGUAGUGAGUGAUACUCUCGUUUUUGAGUUAACUUGAAAUUGUAGGCCAUAUCAGUAUGUGGGACACGAGCGCAAGCUUCUCUAUUAAUCUGCUGCUCGUUUGCGCGAGCGGCGGGGGUUAAUACUGUAUUAGGUUUUACCAACUCGGUGUUGAUCUAGGGAGGGAUAAGUGAGUGUUUUGUGCGUGCUGGGCAGACAGACGUCUUUAAGUUGACCUCAAUCAGGAGGGU